GCAUCUGUAGUUCAAUGGCAGAACUUUAGCUUUUUUAGCUGGAUAUACGAGUUCGAUUCUCGUCUGAUGCU
rnacentral:tRNA from 1 species